rnacentral:ncRNA from 2 species
UAAAAACUAAUAACAAAUACUCGUAUAAUUUCGGGAAUAUGGCCCGAGAGUUUCUACCGAGCUACCACAAAUAGCUUGACUACGAGGUAUGAAUCAUGGAUU